GAUGAACGCUGGCGGCAUGCCUAAGGUAUGCAAGUCGUGCGGUAAGGUUCUGCACAAUUUGCUUAAGCGGUGAGACAGAUAGUAAUUACUUUGGUAAUCACAUCUAUCACCGAAGCGAUGAACUCCCAACUUAUCUUUGGCUAGAUAGGGCAAGAGAUCAAGCUUGAGCAAAAUGUGUAGAAUACACGAGCGGCGGACGGCUGAGUAACGCGUAGGAACGUGCCCCAAAGUGAGGGAUAAGCCCGGGAAAACCGGGUCUAAUACCGCAUACGGUCUUCGGACUAAAGCCUUCGGGCGGCUAUGGGAGCGGCCUGCGGUAUGAUUAGGUAGUUGGUGAGGUAAUAGGCUCACC
rnacentral:rRNA from 1 species